GAUGAACGCUGGCGGCGUGCCUAACACAUGCAAGUCGAGCGAACGGACGAGAAGCUUGCUCUUCUGAUGUUAGCGGCGGACGGGUGAGUAACACGUGGAUCACCUACCUAUAUGACUGGGAUAACUUCGUGAAACCGGAUCUAAUACCGGAUAAUAUUUUGUACGGCAUGGUUCAAAAGUGAAUCACGGUCUUCCUGUCACUUAUAGAUGAAUUCGCGCUGCAUUAGCUAGUUGGUAAGGUAACGGCUUACCAAGGCGACGAUGCAUAGCCGACCUGAGAGGGUGAUCAGCCACACUGGAACUGAGACACGGUCCAGACUCCUACGGGAGGCAGCAGUAGGGAAUAUUGGACAAUGGGCGAAAGCCUGACGGAGCAACGCCGCGUGAGUGAAGAAGGUCUUCGGGUCGUAAAACUCUGUUGUUAGGGAAGAACAGAAGCAUAAGAAACUGUCGACAUCUUGACGGUACCUAAACAGUAAGCAACGGCUAACUUCGUG
rnacentral:rRNA from 1 species